rnacentral:rRNA from 1 species
ACGGGAGGCAGCAGUGGGGAAUAUUGCACAAUGGGCGCAAGCCUGAUGCAGCAACGCCGCGUGAGCGAAGAAGGUCUUUGGAUCGUAAAGCUCUGUCCUUGGGGACGAAGAAGUGACGGUACCCAAGGAGGAAGCCCCGGCUAACUACGUGCUAGCAGCCGCGGUAAUACGUAGGGGGCGAGCGUUAUCCGGAAUUAUUGGGCGUAAAGAGUACGUAGGUGGUUUUGUAAGCGUAAGGUGAAAGCCCGGGGCUCAACUCCGGCGAGCCUUACGGACUGCAGGACUUGAGUGCAGGAGGGGAAAGUGGAAUUCCUAGUGUAGCGGUGAAAUGCGUAGAUAUUAGGAGGAACACCAGUGGCGAAGGCGACUUUCUGGACUGUAACUGACACUGAGGUACGAAAGCGUGGGGAGCAAACAGGAUUAGAUACCCUGGUA